rnacentral:ncRNA from 1 species
CGAAUCUGGAAAGCAGCCCACCGGCUCACCGAAGGCGUAAGUGGUCCUAGACCGCGAAUCUCUCAGGUCAAUGACAGAUGGGU